ensembl:rRNA 5S_rRNA 5S ribosomal RNA
UUGCACAGCCAUAUCACCCUGCAACCCAAGACCGUUUACUCACUGAAGCUAAGCAGGGCUGAGCCUGCUCAGAACCUAGAUGGGAGCCCACAUGGAAAAACUAGGCUGCUGCCGGAA